rnacentral:rRNA from 1 species
UGGGGAAUCUUCCGCAAUGGACGAAAGUCUGACGGAGCAACGCCGCGUGAGUGAUGACGGUCUUCGGAUUGUAAAGCUCUGUUAAUCGGGACGAAUGGUUUGUGUGCAAAUAGUGCAUAGACAUGACGGUACCGGAAUAGAAAGCCACGGCUAACUACGUGCCAGCAGCCGCGGUAAUACGUAGGUGGCAAGCGUUGUCCGGAAUUAUUGGGCGUAAAGCGCGCGCAGGCGGACUAGCCAGUCAGUCUUAAAAGUUCGGGGCUUAACCCCGUGAUGGGAUUGAAACUACUAGUCUAGAGUAUCGGAGAGGAAAGUGGAAUUCCUAGUGUGGCGGUGAAAUGCGUAGAUAUUAGGAAGAACACCAGUGGCGAAGGCGACUUUCUGGACGAACACUGACGCUGAGGCGCGAAAGCCAGGGGAGCGAACGGG